AAGGAGAAAGGCAUGUGCAUCUAGAGGAGAUAAGGUUGGAAGACUAGAGAAAGUCUUCUGGGUCAUCCUUCAUCUCUACAAAAUAUCAUUGAAGAAGCCAUAAAUGUGCAAACAGAGCUUAGUUGGUGUUGUCGUCUGAAAUCACAACACUCUCCCAGCAAACAAAGCAACUUCAUCUGCAAGAACCUAGUUUCAGGAGAGUGUCUUAUGUGAACCCUCACCGGAGUCAAAUCCCGCCUGUGAGCAACACGGCACACCCCCUCACCAGGCUGCUAGAGUCUUUGAAAGUCUAUUGGCAGAGUCCAUCUUAGAAGGUGAGGGCAACUUGCAUUUCAAAUGCUUGCAAUAACUACAACACUUGAAAAACUAAUGCCGAUGAUAGAAGGGAAGGGAAAGUUUGAUCAGGCAAGGUGGAGGCUAGUGUAUGCACCACAGAUACCUAGCUUGCUUUCUGUUGAUCCUACUGUGGAUCCUCUCAAAUCCCUGGCUAGUAAUAUUUUGUUUGGUACAGAAGUUGAAGUCCAACUUGGAACAUCUUACAGACACUCGGGAGAUCCGGAGAUAUUGUUACUUUUUACCUUUGAAUGUUGUUUGUGAUCCUAUAGGGAGAUAUUUGUCUCCUCCCGGCCUCAAUUGUUCGACAAAUGAAGGACUCGGAAAUGGCAAUGCAAUGAACAUUAAUCUACCAGCUUACCAGCCGCCCGCACGUUCAAAAUGCCUCAUUUUUGAAUAUUUUGCUACAACUUGGGAUUAAUCUGCUAGCCAUUAUACUUUUAGUUGUGAACCAUAUUAAGUGUUCACUUGUAGCUUUUAAAUUUCCUUAACUGUCAAUUGUACAUAUGACACUAUUUGCUCAAAAUUGAAUGAGGCCCCUUUGUAAGUUCACAAUGUUACUUUGUAUAUAGUUCAAUAAAUCAUCAAUGAAA